rnacentral:lncRNA from 1 species
AGUGAAAUUAAUUUGACUCUGUAUAUGAACGUCACAAAUUCAGGUUAAAAAUCGCAAUUCCAAAUUGAAUGUCAGCAUUAGUCAAAAUUCACGAUGCCAUUACCAAAAGAAAUCAAAUCGAAACAGUCGAAGAGACGGGCACGCAGUAAACGCAGACCCCUGAAACGAAAAUCCACAAGGGGCAUACCGGUGACAGAGAUCGCAAAGACGGCAGGAAAGUUAUGGAAAAUGAUGAGCGAAAGAGACCGAUCGCCUUAUAUCAAUAUGGCCAGAAAAGCCCCAAUCAGAAGACGCAGGAAGAGGGACGGACAACAAAAACACAACUGUUAAACGGUUCAAAAAGGUUUGCGAGGUGAAACGGAUUAGGACAUCAAAUUAUCAGAUCAAAUAACUUGUUAUGCGUUUCUUAAGCAAAUAAAUUUGAUGCGAUCAU